rnacentral:rRNA from 1 species
AUUGAACGCUGGCGGCAGGCCUAACACAUGCAAGUCGAACGAGUGGCGGACGGGUGAGUAAUGUCUGGGAAACUGCCUGAUGGAGGGGGAUAACUACUGGAAACGGUAGCUAAUACCGCAUACCAUCAUAUGUGCCCAGAUGGGAUUAGCUCGUUGGUGGUGUAACGGGUCCCCAAGGCGACGAUCCCUAGCUGGUCUGAGAGGAUGACCAGCAACAUUGUAACUGAGACACGGUCCAGAUUCCUCCGUGAGGCAGCAGUGGUGAAUAUUGGACAAUGGUCGAAAGGCGGAUGCAGCCAUGCGGCGGGGAUGAAGAAGGCCUUCGGGUUGUAAAGUACUUUCAGCGGGGAGGCGUUACCCGCAGAAGAAGCCCCGGCUAACUCCGUGCCAGCAGCCGCGGUAAUAC